AGUUCGCAUUGAGAGUGAAACUGAGUGGAUUUAAUGCUAACGGGAUAUUCGCACAUUUUGUUGGAUUACAUCAUUACAGUGGAUUGUGGCAGUCAGUGGAUUCUGUGUAGAAUUUAGCAACAAAAGCAUUCGUUUGGUGUGUGACAGUGGCUAAAACGCGAUUAAACCUUUGAACAGAAUUGGUGCGUGAUUUCGAUCGUAACGAAGGCAGCUGCUACUACUGUGCACUGAGAAAUUGUUUUGUAAUAAAACACAUCUAAAUCGUUGGUUGUCGAGACAAAGUUGGUUGCUGCUGUGUUCAUUUGCAACUCAUUGUGAACUGUUUGUGUACGUUUGGAGCCGAUUUUUCUAUCCAACGCUAUCAAAACUUUGGACAGAAUCGGUGCGUGAUUCGUCAUUGAGUGUACCUAACCUACACCAACAGAAAUAAUCUGGCUGGAGUUGUCUAAGAAAGUUAUUCGAACGCAUCAAAGUGAACUGUUUGUGUGCGCUAAGAGCCGAUUUUUCAAUUCAACGCUAUCAAAACGGCAGAAUUUGUUACUCUUAGGUUUACACAACAUUUCAAAAACCGAAAUGCAACUUGAAUAACAUAAGUUCUAAAUAUUUUUAAGUUUUAAUGGCUUUUUUAAACGUGAAGGUCAAAGUAUUCAAAAGUUAAAAGAAUUAUAUAAAGUUGCAUACGAUGACGAUUUGGAUUUUGAAUUGUUGGUCACAUUAAUUGUG